GUUUUUACAAAUUUUGGUUUUCUUUUUUCUUUUUUUCAUUUUUAGGGGAAGAGAGAGUGAAAGGAACUUUGAGGGUAACGUUGUCAAGGAAGAAAGAAAAAGAAAGAAAAUGUCAAAAUCUGACAGUGAACCAGCAUUUAUUAAGCAUCUACUAUGUGCCAGGUACCAUGCUAAGCCCUGGGGGAUCCAAAGAAAGGCAAAAGCCUGUCUCUGUCCUUGAAGUGCUCACAAUUUAAUGGGAGAAGCAAUCUGCAAACAACUAUGGACAAAUAAGCUAUAUCCAGGAUAAAUUAAAGUUAAUGAACAGAGGGAAGGCAUCAGCUUUAAGGGGAUCAGGAAAGGCUUCUUGUGGAGAGAGCCUUUUGGGAUCAGUUGGCAGGGAAGCUGCAGAAUGUUUCCUGAAUUUGACGCUGGUUUUAUCUGUCUCCAUCAAAGGAAAUUUUGUCAUGGAAUAUUGGAGGCAGAAGAGACUUUAAUGAUGAUUUAUUCUAAACCCUUCAUUUUAUAGAUGCAGAAAUUGAGGUUCAAAGGUAUAUUGUCCUGAAGGUGAUCCAGUCCUAGAACUCAGAUCUCCUGACUUCAAAUUGAGGAUUUGGUCACCUAUCAGUGAAAGGGCAUAAUCUCAUUCUUGAAUUUUUGUAACUUUU
rnacentral:lncRNA from 1 species